rnacentral:rRNA from 1 species
UACGUAGGGACCGAGCGUUGUCCGGAAUCAUUGGGCGUAAAGAGCGUGUAGGCGGCUAUUUAAGUCCUGCGUGAAAUCCUGCGGCUCAACCGCAGACGGUCGUGGGAAACUGGAUGGCUAGAGUGCGGGAGAGGAGAGUGGAAUUCCCGGUGUAGCGGUGAAAUGCGCAGAUAUCAGGAGGAACACCGAUGGCGAAGGCAGGUCUCUGGGCUGACACUGACGCUCAUGCACGAAAGCGUGGGGAGCAAACAGG